GUAGUCAGUUUUGACAUGGUAAAUGGAAUUUGUUAGACUUCUGCUGGUGUCCUAAGGGAUUUGUUUUGCAUAGGUUGUUUAUCCCCAUUUCUUUUAGUUGAUUUACCUUCUGUUUUCUGUUGUCACAAAUUCUACUGCCAUUAUAAUCCUAUCUGCUUUAUGUAACUUAUUAUUGUUCUUUUGAGAUUUAUGAUAAAGUUAUAGUGUUUUGGCUCUUCAAUCUGGAUUACAUUUUCCAAGUUAGAAUGCUUAUUGGCAGUUCUUCUCAUGACAACUUAAUGUGCUAAAUAUUUU
rnacentral:misc_RNA from 1 species